rnacentral:lncRNA from 1 species
AUGUGCAUUUCAGUCCCACGAAGAACACAGGGCCUGGUAACAGGUUCUGACUACAGCCAGGCACACCAAUUCUCCGGGAAUGGACUUGAAGCAGGGGUGUCUGGACAGUCUGUGGCUUUCACCUGCGGAUGGUGGGGAGCCCCGGGGCGGGGGAGGGGACAGAGGCACAGGCAUGCAGGGUUCCUGGGACAGGCGAGAGAGGCUGAGACAAGAGAGACCGUGACGGACACACAGAGCCAAGUGAAGAGAGGGACAAUGAGGGGACAGGGAAUCAGGGCGAGACAGAGAUACGGGGAAGAGAGAAAGCAGGAGACAGAGAAAGAAAACAGGGUCCAUAGAAAAGUGGUCACGGAGAGGCUGACCCCUGGGACUCUAGAGAAAGCAAUCGUUGGGGGAACGACCGAGGUGGCCCUGUCUUCCCCGGGGAUGGGAAGACGGGAGAAGCAACGGUGGGGAGGGCAGCGCGGAGAAGCAGGGGCCGGGGCGGGAGGCAAAGCGCGCGGCGGAGCAGAGAGGGCCCGAGGCGCCGGGCGGGAGCGGACCAGGCUGCCGCGCCGGCCCCCGCCCCGCCGAGGCGCCGCUGACAGCGCAGGGGCGAGAGCCCGAGCCCCAGCUCCGCGGACCGACCGACCGACCGACCGACCCACCGACCGACGGACAAAGCCCGGGCGGGGCCGGGAGGGGCCGGGCGGGGCCGGGCGGGGCCGGGGCGGGGGCGGGGGCGGGGCCGGGGCCGGCGGGUCCCCGGGCCGAGCGGGGAGAGGAGGGGCCGCGCGGGCGGCGAGAGAAGGGGAAGGAAGCGGAGGUGCCGGGCGGGCGCGGGGCGCGGGCAGGAAGCGGGGAGGGGCGGCGGGGCGGGGGCCUCCGGAAAAACGCCCCGACUUCCUGCCCCGCCAGAGCCAGGAAGCGGGAGCCGGGACGCAGGGCCCGGGAUCGCUGAGCCCGACCUCGGGCGCCCCGCCGGUCACCUCCCCGCGAGGACUCCAGGUACACGGUCUGGCCCCGCCCGGCCUCCCGCCCCUUGGCCGCCGGGGGAAGUGGGGAGGAGGAGGGAGGGCGCCGGGGCGCUGCCGGCAGCGCAGGGGCCUCCUAGCGCCGCUCACAGCCUGCGGCCGCCCCUCCCUGGGCCUCAGUUUCCCCAUCUGUCAAAGGGGGGCAAAGGGAAGGGAACUAAUACCUGCCGAGUGCCCACUAAGUGGGGAUGAAGGGUGCGAGGCCGGAGUCGAGGCCUCCCAACUGUCCAGCAGAGGACGGAUGAUCACUCCCAUUGUACGGGUGGGGAAACUGAGGCUCGGGGAGGGGAACCGGCUUGUCCCAGGCUACACACACACACACCGUGGGGCCGAGUGGUGUUGGGAUUUGAACUUGCAGGUGCUUUUCAAGCACCGUCCUCCCACCCCACAUGCUUCAGGGCCGCCGAGAAAAGAAAAACGUCAAUAA